CUCUUGCAGAAACUGACUUCCCAAGCCCUCUGGUCACAAGCACCUGAAGAACAACCACUUCAAGGGCCCCAUGAACCAGUGAGACCUGGCCGUGGGGAGAGCACCACCUAUUCCCUUCCCCAUUUUUUGCAGAAACUCCUAAACUAAUAAGUCACACACAGAACUACUGGAUUUCCCGGGAGCAAGUCUCAACAUGUGUGGCCUCUCACAGGCAGAGUCCCGGCAAGGCGCAUGUGGGGCUAGGGAUUCGGUGGGAAAGGAGAUCUGCUGGGCAUGUCCAGUUCCCACAUCACGCCUGUGACUGAUGUGCACCACAUUCCUGUGUGGAUGUGUCCUGCAGCUGAAAUGUCACAGCUGCUCUCUUGUUGAAGUGACAGAGAUUAGUAACAUUGCUUUUGUGGCCAAGAAACUCAUAAAAGAUAAAGUAACCCUUGGUCAAGAAAGAUGGAUGAAGGCUCAAAUUUUAGAUUUGAGGAGGAGGAGAUGAGGUUUCAGCCUCCACUUCUGCCCUAUCCCUAGCCUGGCCUGGAUUUCUGCCCAAAAGUGCUGUCUGAGGCUAAUAUGUAUCAGUGAGCAAGAGUAGGACAUAAGCCCCCCAUCCCCCGAAGUGCCUGGCUCUGAGCCAUCCACGGUGGGCACUCAACAUCCAUUCAUCAAAUCAAGCUCUUGUACAAUGACCCUUCCCUCUUGUUAAAAUCCUCACUUAAUGAAGAACCUUCUAUUGGGCAGGCACCAUGCCAUGUGCUUCAGUCAUGUCAUAGCUCAUUAAACCAUCACACCAGGGUUGCAAGGGGCUUACAGACUCCCAAGCUGCCAGAGUAAUUCAAGCCAGUCAAUCCUAAGGUUCACCCUGCUGUGCCUGCUAUCCCCAGGAACCCCAGUCACGUCUCUGGCCUGGACGGCCCCUCAAUCCUGCUUCUGCCUCCUGAUGCAAAACUUCUCCGUGACCCUGCAUGGCUGUCGUACCAGGCCAUGCUUUUCUAGGGGAACUCUCCCUCUCCACAAAGAACCGUUAUCAUCGGACCCAAACUCCAGCAGUUGAAGAAUUGCUGAAAGCUCUCAAGAAACUUCCCUAAAAUUCUGGGACUUCACUCCAUCCCGGGGGCAAUAUGUGGACCACCAGCGAGAGGGGGCAGAACCCAGAGGGCCCCCUCCUCCCAUCGUGCCCCGGAUGAUAAAUUCAGCGCCAGAAAAAAUAAAUAAAUCUGUGGGUGUCUUUCCCCUUGAGGACAGGCAACGGCAAAAUUGU